rnacentral:rRNA from 1 species
UAGGCAUGAAUAGUGUUUGAGGAUGAGAGUACCAGAGGAAUAAGCACGGCUAACUACGUGCCAGCAGCCGCGGUAAUACGUAGGGUGCGAGCGUUAAUCGGAAUAAUUGGGCGUAAAGGAUGCGUAGGCGGGAAUAUAAGUUAGAUGUGAAAAGCCAGGGCUUAACCUUGGUCUGGCAUUUAAGACUGUAUUCCUAGAGUUAGUGAGAGGGGUGUAGAAUUCCAAGUGUAGCAGUGAAACGCGUAGAGAUUUGGAGGAAUACCGAUGGCGAAGGCAGCGCCCUGGCAUAUAACUGACGCUGAGGCACGAAAGCGUGGGUAGCAAACAGGAUUAGAUACCCUGGUAGUCCACGCCCUAAACGAUGUUUACUUGCUGUUGGGGGUAACCUAAGUAGCGAAGCUAACGCGAGAAGUAAACCGCCUGGGGAGUACGGUCGCAAGAUUAAAACUCAAAGGAAUUGACGGGGACCCGCACAAGCGGUGGAUGAUGUGGAUUAAUUCGAUGCAACGCGAAGAACCUUACCUGCUCUUGACAUGUUAGGAAGGCCUAAGAGAUUAGGCUGUGCCUUCGGGAACCUGAACACAGGUGCUGCAUGGCUGUCGUCAGCUCGUGUCGUGAGAUGUUGUCUUAAGUGACGCAACGAGCGCAACCCUUGCAACUAGUUGCCCUAAUUAAGUUUGGCACUUUAGUUGGACUGCCGGAGCUAAUCCGGAGGAAGGUGGGGAUGACGUCAAGUCCUCAUGGCCCUUAUGAGCAGGGCUUCACACGUCAUACAAUGGUAGGUACAGACGGUCGCGAAACUGUGAAGUGGAGCUAAUCCGAGAAAGCCUAUCGUAGUCCGGAUUGUAGUCUGCAACUCGACUACAUGAAGUCGGAAUCGCUAGUAAUCGCAGAUCAGCAUGCUGCGGUGAAUACGUUCCCGGGUCUUGUACACACCGCCCGUCACACCAUGGGAGUGGGUUUUACCAGAAGUAGGUAGUCUAACCGCAAGGGGGACGCUACCACGGUAGA